UACGUAGGCAGCAAGCGUUGUUCGGAGUUACUGGGCGUAAAGCGUGCGCAGGCGGUUGUGCAAGACAGAUGUGAAAUCCCCGGGCUUAACCUGGGAACUGCAUUUGUGACUGCACGGCUAGAGUGUGUCAGAGGGGGGUAGAAUUCCACGUGUAGCAGUGAAAUGCGUAGAUAUGUGGAGGAAUACCGAUGGCGAAGGCAGCCCCCUGGGAUAACACUGACGCUCAUGCACGAAAGCGUGGGGAGCAAACAGG
rnacentral:rRNA from 1 species